UUUCCUUAGUAACGUACCUAACGCGUGAAGUUGACCGCCUGGGGAGUGCGGUCGCCAGAUUGAACUCAAARGAAUUGAUGGGGACCCSCCCAAGCGGCGGAUGAUGUGGAUUAAUUCGAUGCAACGCGAAAAACCUUACCUACCCUUGACGUGGUCGGAACCCUGCUGAAAGGUGGGGGUGCUCGAAAGAGAACCGAUACACAGGKGCUGCAUGGCUGUCGUCAGCUCGAGUCGUGAGAUGUUGGGUUAAGUCCCGCAACGAGCGCAACCCUUGUCCUUAGUUGCUACGCAWGAGCACUCUAAGGAGACUGCSGGUGACAAACCGGAGGAAGGGGGGGAUGACGACAAGUCCUCAUGGCCCUUAUGGKUAGGGCUUCACACGUCAUACAAUGGUGGGAACAGAGGGCUGCCAACCCGUGAGGGGGAGCUAAUCCCAGAAAACCGAUCGUAGUCGGGAUCGUAAUCCGCAACUCGACYACGUGAAGSUGGAAUCGCUAGUAAUCGCGGAUCAGCAUGCCGCGGUGAAUACGUUCCCGGCUCUUGUCCCCCCCGCCCGUCACUCCAUGAGAGUGGGUUCCACCAGAAGUAGUAGCCUAACCGC
rnacentral:rRNA from 1 species